rnacentral:lncRNA from 1 species
CUUUUUUACUGGCCCUGCUUUGAGCAGGGUUGCGCCAAAUGGACUCUUGAAGUCCCUUCCAGACUCUUAUGUCCACCAUCUUUUUUUCUUGGACAUCUUUGUGCUAGACAAUUUUUGGAAACAUUGUGAUUGAUGGCUUCGAUGAAUGGAUCCGUCUGGUCUGACAAAAGCUGAAAUGCCCUGAUCAAAUCCCAGAUCACCAGGUUCAGUGUAACAUAUACUUACAACAUCUUUUACUCACUACCAACCUGACACUUAGAGCUACAGCAGAAUGUAGAGCAGCCUGAAGGACCAAAAUGCAAUCUGGAUCUGCCUGAGAAGGUAUUCAGCUUUCUUCCAUUUCCAGUGGAGAAGCAUAAGCCUGCCUGAGCUGAAGGCUGGAGGAAUUUUAUCAUUGGGUGAAGAGAUGAAACAACACAGUGAAAACAAAACCCCUUCCCCCGGAAUUUUGCAUUUCUCCAGUGAGAGCUUCUGGCAGACUAUUUUCUCUUCAAGGAAAAAGAAUAAAUCACUGAAGUAAGCCAUGGAUAGAAAAAACACAGUGCACAGGAUGAUUUCGAAUCAAGAGAAAGUGAGAAAAUUUCCAGGCACAGCACUUGUUUACUUGCCUGAACUGGUUUCAGUGAGAACUGC